CUCCUCGCUGUGCGCGUGCGCCCCGGAAUCGUUUUCCUUCCCCGGCCUGGGUUCAUGGAAUUCUGAGGGCAAAAUCUACACUUCACCAGUGGAUCCAGGAGGUCCCACAAGAGUCUUGUAAUCAGUAUUGGAGAAGUGGCUUCAUGAAGCUAGGAGCAGGACAGCCUUGAAGAUUGCUGGCUUCUCACCAAAGGGGGAUAGCCAUGUCCCAAGGGCUAUUACUGGUCAUAAUUCAGAAGAAUUAAGUCCAGGAGAAAGAGAAUUGAUCUAUCGCUUUAACCAGUUAAUUUGUCAAAUUACACUGCAGUCCAAGUGUUACAGAAGAAAACUCCUCUGGUUAAGUGGACAGGGUGGUGUACAGUAAGCAUAUACAACACAGGAUCUGGUAGCGAAUGCCCUGCAUGAAGACCAGCUUUAAUGGAGUGACUUGGCCAAGCUGCUUAACCUUCUUCAGCUUCAGAUUCUUCAUUUGUCAAAUGGAAGUGAAAACAUCUUCCCCAAGUGAGAAGGUUUAUCCUCAUGAUGAUGAUGAUGAAGAGGAGUUGGAAGAUUUUUCUUUCAUCAUAGCAAAGGCAACUGCUGAAUUAUAUGGGCUUCCACUUAGAAUCUUCUGGAUGGUCUCCUCUUUUUCACUUGAAUACCUUAAUCCC